UACGGUGAGCCUGUCAUUAUUC
rnacentral:miRNA from 7 species